UGAGAUGUAAGCUAGUACUGCAGGUUAUCAGUUAUCUGUCAGUGAAAUAAGAAGGUAGUGGGUUUUAUUGAUCUUCCUUUUUUUGGGGUGGUGGGGUAGGGAAAUAUGUGUAAACUUAUUUUUAAAUCCACAUUAGUUACCUGAUGGAUUUUUCCACUCGCUCUCAUGGACCCAAGGAUCCCAGUCCCAACUGCGUUGAGCUGGUGGAAGCAGUGUCCAGAGGGAUGCUCAUCCAGAGUUGGGCUCAUCCUCGAUGAUGAUGUCGAUGGUAGUUUAGUACAGCGUGCAUUGCCAUAGGAAGGGCGCCUGUUUGGAGAUAAAAGACCUCUGGAGCACUGAAUGCUUGCCACGUGCAAAGCAAAAACCUGGUCCUUGACCCAACCUACUCAGAGAGGUGAAUGCCUGAGCGAGGCCACAUAGCCAGAUGGAGGGAGAGCAAGCCCCACCGAAGAGGAUUCAGACAAUUCUCCUAUCUCUGGAACCACUCACGGAGCCUUGCUCCUCAUCUGCCUUCUGAUGAUAUUUGCUUUUAAAGAAAGGUCCAUUUAAUGUGUUCCUCCCCCAAAAGUAUCUGCAAUUAAUUCUUAUCAAGGGCAACAGCUGAUUUGUAAGAUUACUUCUAAAUUGGUAAUUAAUUAACCUAUUACCAAAAGAGGGAGGGGUGCCCUGUUUGUCAAGAGGUUAGAGCUGAUAAGUGAUGAAUAGUUGGGUUAUAUCAGGACCUUGGCUCCCCUCUGAUCAGUUUGGAUGUUACCUAACCAUGCAUUAUAUUUGAACAUGAAUCACAGCUCCUCAGUCUUUAUAUUUCCUAAUCCAAAGCCUGACACACAGAACUAUGGGUAGAUCUCAUUUAUUAUUGCUUAAUUAAAGGCUCAAUGCACAAAGAGACGCCUCUUGUUUCACUUUAGCUAUCCAGCGAGAUCAUAAUUGUACUGAUGUUGGGGCCAGCUUUCUAAGUAGCUAUUAGAAGUCACUGCGAGGAAGAUCCGAGCUAUUCUAUAGGGAAUUCUACACAAUAAAAGUUACAUUCGUAUUUUUUAAUUAAG
rnacentral:lncRNA from 1 species